UACGGAGGGUGCAAGCGUUAUCCGGAUUCACUGGGUUUAAAGGGUGCGUAGGUGGGCAGGUAAGUCAGUGGUGAAAUCUCCGGGCUUAACCCGGAAACUGUCAUUGAUACUAUCUGUCUUGAAUACCGUGGAGGUGAGCGGAAUAUGUCAUGUAGCGGUGAAAUGCUUAGAUAUGACAUAGAACACCAAUUGCGAAGGCAGCUCACUACACGAAUAUUGACACUGAGGCACGAAAGCGUGGGGAUCAAACAGG
rnacentral:rRNA from 1 species